UGGUGGAGUGAUUUGUCUGGUUAAUUCCGAUAACGAACGAGACCUUAACCUGCUAAAUAGACCGGUCGGCUUUUGCUGGCCGCCGUCUUCUUAGAGGGACUAACAGCGUUUAGCUGUUGGAAGUUUGAGGCAAUAACA
rnacentral:rRNA from 1 species